UACGUAGGGGCGAGCGUUGUCCGGAAUUAUUGGGCGUAAAGAGCUCGUAGGCGGUCUGUUACGUCUGCUGUGAAAACCCUGGGCUUAACCCUGGGCUUGCAGUGGGUACGGGCAGACUAGAGGCAGGUAGGGGAGAAUGGAAUUCCCGGUGUAGCGGUGAAAUGCGCAGAUAUCAGGAAGAACACCCGUGGCGAAGGCGGCUCUCUGGGACGGUACUGACGCUGAGACGCGAAAGCGUGGGGAGCGAACAGG
rnacentral:rRNA from 1 species